CUCCUGAUAAGGUUUUCUUGUUGGAGCCUGGCUGAGCUUCAAUCAACAAAUAAGGUCCUGGGUGAGUGCAGCCCUUGCUGAGCUGGGAGAACUGAAGGGGGAGGGGGAAACUUACUCCAGGCCUGUUUUCCAGCUUCAUUAGUUCACAGGGUUUAUAUAACCUGCUGCAGAAAACAUUUUUGUGUGUAAUUCAAACAAACUCUGUUUUUCUAUUCCCUCUGUUGGUACCCUGCUGGGACAAGCCUGGGCUGAUGACAGCCAGCCCCCAGGUGAUGAGCUCAGGGAAGGGCACCAGCAAAAACAGUGUGUGUGUGGGAGCUCUGACCUUCA